rnacentral:rRNA from 1 species
UCGUAGGGGGCGAGCGUUGUCCGGAUCAUUGGGCGUAAAGCGCGUGUAGGCGGUCCGAUAAGUUCGCUGUGAAAGUCGGGGGCUUAACCCUCGGAUGCCGGUGAGUACUGUCGGGCUUGAGUACGGAAGAGGCGAGUGGAAUUCCUGGUGUAGCGGUGAAAUGCGCAGAUAUCAGGAGGAACACCCAAUUGCGAAAGGCAGCUCGC